rnacentral:tRNA from 1 species
UCCAUGGCAGUCCAGUGGUUAGGAUUCAGCACUUUCACUGCCGGGACCCAGGUUUGAUCCCUGGUCAGGGAA